AAGGAGCACAAAAGGUAAAGUAGGAGAAGGAGCACAAAGGAACAGAAAUGAACAGGACGGGUCAGCAAGGAGCUGGAAGGUAAAGCAGCACAAAGGUAAAGUAGAAGGAGCAGAAAGGGUCAGAAAUGAGCUGGAAGGGGCAGAAGGAGCACAAAGGUAAAGUAGGAGAAUGAGCAGGAAGGGGCAGCAAGGAGCAGAAAGGGGCAGCAAGGAGCACAAAGGGACAGCAAGGAGCACAAAGGUAAAGGAGCAGAAAGAAUCAGAAGGAGCACAAAAGGUAAAGUAGGAGAAAGAGCAAAAAGGGACAGCAAGGAGCA